ACUAAACCCCGUCACCCCAUUAUUUUCUUUCCAAUUCAACCCAGACGACGGCGAGCGGUUGGGAUUGGGCGAGGCAGCGGCGAUGCGGGUGAGCGGCCGGCGGCGAUGCGGGUGACUGGCCGGCGGCGAGCGGCGGAUGCGCUAUGCGUUGUGGGUGUCCUUCGCUCUGUUGUGGUCUGCCGACGAAUCGACGGCGACCGGCUGUAGGUGUGAUUGCGGCCGGCAGCGGGCGGUUGUAGGCAGGGUUGCUCCGAGCGGCUGCAGCUGGGGAUCUUAUCGGCUUGAGGCUUGGUGAGUGGCAGAUCCUCCUCUCCGCCUCCAACACCAGUUCGGCCGUCUGUUCGUCCACGUUCCUCACCGCCGGCUAGCCGUCAACUUCACCCCGUCGUCAGCCGACCGUCUUCUCCCCCGAGCGCCGGCAGCGCCCCAUACUCUACGCUGGCACCGUCUGCUUCGCUCCAGCACUGGAAGCACCGUCCCCUUCGUACCUCUCUUCACCUCCCGACGCUGACGGCCGUCGUCCACGGAUCCAUUCCUCACUUCAUUGAAGCACCUGCCGCCGUCCAGGCUCCUGCCACCGGGUUCCAGCAAUCCAAGCCUGGAACGUCAUCGAGGAGCCCCAAUCGCCCGCUACCAGGUGUGAACUGUUAUUGGCAGAUUCACAUUGGUUUCGUGUUGUCAAAGAGGUGGGGUAGAGGUAUGUUGAAACAAUUCAGAGGCACCGGACUGAGCUACUUGCUGGUGCGUGCUCCGGCGAACGCUAGCCACUGGCAUGCUUGGGAAAGCAUGUCAUUGAUCCGGAUAUUCCUUUCUCGGUCGUUGAUCCAGAUAGUCCCUUCUCGAAUAUCUUUUCCACGUUGUUGCCUUGUUGGGCAUGGAAGAAACAGGGUAUAUUUAUCAUUGUAUUGAACCCGCUGACUGCUGCACAUCUUCCCCUCCAUUGAAUAUCAAAUUAAUUCCAUCUUUGUGCAUCUGCUGAUAUGAAGGAAGAAGAUUCACAUUCACUAGCGAGAUCCACUUAUACAGAAGGGCAAAUUUUAUAUCACGGGCAUCCUAUAUUUAUAUCAUCGUCUGCCGACCCAGCCUGUUAUGUAUGGCACAUGAGCCUGCCGGCGGCUGGUGAUCCAGUAAUCGCUGCACACAAGGUAUGGUAUGGUGAGCUUCUAUAUCAUUUCCUGCCUCAUAUGUGUAUAGUUUGUGUGCUCAAUCUGGUGAUGAUGAAGCCAGAUUUACACUCCCGCUGUUUAUUCCUGUUUGGCCUUCUAGGGACCUAAAAACUCCCAGGUGGCCAUAUCAAUAGCCAAAAUAUGUCACCUUUCUGCAGUGUUCCUUGUGUUCGCCAAUAGGUCUAUGGCCUUCUUCAAAAAAAAAUCAACUGAUAGAAUUAAUUCUUUUUUACAUUGCCCGUCCAUAGUUCUGAACUAUUGCGGGAGCCAUGAUGGAUAUGUGUCUUAUUCUUUAGCUUUACAACCUUAGAUGGUUGGUUUGUAUGAUAGCAACUCUUUCCUUGGUCUAUACAAAGUAAAAGAUUAUAGAAAUGUUGUACAUCUGAUGACUGUGUUGAUACCCUAUGAAGCACCGGUACGGCGAUACGGAUACGGGAACAUGGGAUACGGCAAUAUCUAGAAAUAGCAAUACGGCGAUACGGCGAGUAUACAUAUAAAAAUUAAUAUAAAUCCAUUUGAUUUAGACAAAGAAUAAUUGAAUGCUGUGAAAAUCUGCCCCAUUUGUUGCCUCCGUGUCUGUUUUAAGUUCUUGAUGGCUGAAUGAUCGUCUCAUCAAUUUCCUCAAUCAUUAUAUUGCCCAUUCGUGCUUGCAAAAUACAUCGAUGGCAAGAAAUAUCUUUGACUUGUGAGUGUAAGGCAUGGCCACAGUGCCCAAUUUUUAAUGUCCCGUUUCAUCUUCGAGAAUAUUGGGCAACUAAGGGUAUGCAUUUUUUUUUACGUUGGUUUCUUUGCACCAAUUAUGUUCAUAUCAUCAGAACUGAAUACUCUUGUUUCCUGAAUGACUACAGUUAAAAUCAUCUUGAAUUUGCUAUAUUCAGAAUUAUAUAGCAUGUUCUCUCUUUGUCUGAUCGAUUGCUGGCCUCUCCAGAUGAAGAGGCAUGUGUUUUCUUACGAAGUUAUUAUUGAGUGCACUUCUUGCAGCACGUCGAUGUCUGUCAUUCGCUAUUGUCCGCUUGAUUUUUCUACUACGAAACAUACUACCAAUAGAAGACAGAAGUUGCCGUGGAUGUUUUGGAGCGCAUGUGGACACCCAAAUCUAUGGUGUCAAUGAUGUUGACCUUGGAGAUAUUUGGGACUUGUACAACUAAUAACGUGCCUAUGCGAAAAUUUUCGAGAAGGGUGUUUUAAGGAACCUAAUUAUGGUAUUCUGCUAUGUAAUAAAUUAUUUCUGUACUUCCUAUGUAAAAACUGUGAGAUUUUUACAAGACCA